rnacentral:rRNA from 1 species
AGGGAAUCUUCCACAAUGGACGCAAGUCUGAUGGAGCAACGCCGCGUGAGUGAAGAAGGUUUUCGGAUCGUAAAGCUCUGUUGUUGGUGAAGAAGGAUAGAGGCAGUAACUGGUCUUUAUUUGACGGUAAUCAACCAGAAAGUCACGGCUAACUACGUGCCAGCAGCCGCGGUAAUACGUAAGUGGCAAGCGUUGUCCGGAUUUAUUGGGCGUAAAGCGAGCGCAGGCGGAAUGAUAAGUCUGAUGUGAAAGCCCACGGCUCAACCGUGGAACUGCAUCGGAAACUGUCAUUCUUGAGUGCAGAAGAGGAGAGUGGAACUCCAUGUGUAGCGGUGGAAUGCGUAGAUAUAUGGAAGAACACCAGUGGCGAAGGCGGCUCUCUGGUCUGCAACUGACGCUGAGGCUCGAAAGCAUGGGUAGCGAACAGGAUUAGAUACCCUGGUAGUCCAUGCCGUAAACGAUGAGCGCUAGGUGUUGGGGACUUUCCGGUCCUCAGUGCCGCAGCAAACGCAUUAAGCGCUCCGCCUGGGGAGUACGACC